rnacentral:misc_RNA from 1 species
GUACCAUGUUCAGACCUGGCAACCUCUAAUCUAAGAAAAUAUUUCAUGUACCCAAGGUCUUUGAUAAUAAACUUCUCAAUCAAGGCUGUCUUAACAUAUUGAAUUGCAUUCGCAUCAGUACCAGAUAUGAUUACAUUAUCCACAUAGAUCAAGAGAAUCCAGAAAUAAGUAUUAGUGGAUUGUGUAAACAAACAAUAAUCAUUUUGUGACUAAACAAUGCCUAAUGAUUUGAGAAAGGAAGUAAACUCCACAUUCCAUUGUCUACUGGCCUGUUUAAGCCCAUACAAGGACCUUUCAAAAAACAAACUUCACUAGGCUUAGCUUUAAAAUAACCUUGAGGUGGUAACAUGUAGACCUCCUUAUCCCGGUAACCAUGUAAAAAAGCAUUGUUUAUAUCCAGCUGGUAGAUAGGCCAUUUCCUAGCUGUGGCUAAGGCUAUGAACAACCUAACAGUAACCAGCUUAGGUAUAGGGAAGAACCUCUCUUUAAAACCAAUCCUUCUAUCUGAUUAUAUCCUUUGGUUACUAAACAAGCCU